AGGGUGGAGGUCUGUUAAACUGUACAAUAGACAAGGCACUACAAGAAAUCCAGAUAACAGCCAACAGAACUGGUUAUAAAAAGAUUAGAAGCUCUUGAAGUUAACCAAACAGAAGGAGCAGAUAACACAUAUCUGCAGGUUCUAAAGGCAUGAGCAAGGGAAGGGUGAACCUUAGGACUGCAGCCUACACAGCAUCAAAUGGAAGGCUGAAUCAAUGGGAAGAGUUGCAACUUCUUAUUUCCUUCUCUGUCAAGAUCGGAGCAGAGGGAGCAGCCGAAGACGCUUAGGAGGCAGGCUCUUUUCAGGUCUUGGACUGUCAUCGGCUGCAGGUUUGAAUGCGGGCGUGCAGCUUCCUGAGAGGUGGCCUUCCUGAGAGGGGUCGGAUGGGGAGAGGCCACACCAGACACCCAUGUGUCUGUUUGCUGUCCCUACAUGGUCCUCAGAGCUGAAGUGAAGAUUUCCUCUGCUUUCUUCCUGUGCCCCCUUCACCUGCCCCCCACCGCCACACCGCCCCCAGUCCAACCAGCCGGAGCCCUCCCUCUCUCCCUUUGCUGGGCCUUAUCUGGUAUGUUCAGUGAUGCGAUAAAACAAAAAGGGAAGUUUUUGAUUGCACGAACACACCCUUUGGAGGGGUUCCAGCUAGAGAAGAGUCCGUGAAGGAAAGAGAGAGCCGUGUGGGGAGGCCUAGGUGCCAGGAUCGAGGAAAAUGCAAGCUUAGGAGGAAAAAAUAAUAACAUGCUAGAAUGGCAGUGGUGGUUUCGAGAGGUCUGGAGGGUGGAGGGAGUUCAAAAAGGAACUUGCCUAAUGAGGCCUCUCUGAAGAUUUACUGCUGUGGCCGCUGCUGAGAAGAGGAUCCGGAGAGAAGAUGUUGGGCCCCGAGCAGCUUCGCAGGAAGCCAGACAGGGCUGUGCUCUCGGCAGGCCGAGGGCAGAGCCUGCUCAGCCGCAGCAUCUCCGGCUUGCAGUUGAGUUGUUUUUAAAGAGCCCCCUCCAUGCGGCCCCUGGGACCCUUAUGCACACCGUUCUCAGGGCGGAAAACCACGCAGAGAGCCCAUCCUGGACGCGGGCCGUCGCGCCUGUCCCUGAGCACCUCCCGGGCACCGCUUCCUCCCGAGCCGCAGCUCUGGGGGCUCAGCGCUCACCCUCCAGCCGCCGCGUCUUGGCCCCGAGGACAGGACAACCAUCCGUGGGGGUCGGAACCCGUCUGUCCUUCGCCCAGCGGACUGGGCCCCCUUCCCUGGCAGAGCCCGAAGCCCCCCUGCUUCCAAGGACUGGAAGUGAAACUCUGCAGCGCAGAUUCCGCGGCCCGGGCCUGCUCGCACUCGGGCUGCUCCCUUCCCGCGGGGCGGCCACAAGGAUGAAACCAUUAGUGGAAAAUACUGCUGCUCAGGGGAAAGAGCUUCAUUUCCCCAUCUUUGGAGCAGACACGAUCACUGCCAUUUUACUGACAGGGAAACGGGCUUAGUGAGCAGAAGUGAUUUGUUCUAGGACCCAGAAAUAUUUGGCCUUAGAACACUCCUGUCCCCUCUGACCCCUGGAGGACACGUGCACGGUGCUCCCAAGGACGGGCUGAUGUCAUCUUGAGAACUCAUUCUGGGUAAUAAAUCAGAAUCCUUCAAGGGGAAGAAAGAUAAAUGAGGUUCUGGGUGUUUUCUCACAAAAGACAGCAAAGCAGCCCAUCUGGUCUACCAUGUAAACCCCAGUAAGUGAGGUAGACUACGGAAAGAGAUCCAGAGUUCGGGAUCCCAAUCCCAUCCUACAAAUCGGCUGAAGUGGGUUUGAGGAAAGUGAACUCGACUCAUAAAGCUCAGGAGGAUCCAAGGAAAGGCUGAGCACAGCAAAGGAAAUUCUCCAGUGGCACAGACGGGUUCUUUGCUCAUUUUUCUUCAACACUGAGAAACAGAGCAGCAGGAGGAGGGGAGUCUCCCCUUCUUCAUCCAGUGUUGUGUGUGGCAGCAGGUGGAAUGCCGCGUGAGGGCAGGUGCGCUGGGGGCAGGUGAACGCGGAUGCAGGGUCUGUCAGCAGUUCUUGAAUCAGCUUCAAGUGCUCUGGCAGUGCUGGGCACCUGUGUGUGUGUGUGUGUGUGUGUGUGUGUGUGUGUGUUGUACGUGUGGCUGUGAGCAGGUGCCAGCUUGUGAGAAAGACUAUGGUGGAGAGACAGGGAGAGAGAGAUUCACAAACACGUAGAACAGUGUAUUUCAUAGACACGUUUCUGCUUUCUUGAAUGAAUAGGUGCUACAAAGAAUUUCUUCCUGAGGAAACCUAAGCAGAAAAUAGGCACUUCAUUAACAUCUGUUCUCAUAAAAGAUAAAGAAGACUGCUAGUUGCCUACUGAACAUGUUUUACUCUUCUUUCUUAAUAAUAAAAACCUGAUUUGGGGGCAUAUGGGGAUGCAAGUUGCCUAUGAAGCUUUUACUUCUCUACCUCCCUUGUUGCUAAGUUCUGGCUAAUAAGGAUGUAAAGUAAAUUUAUUUGGUGGGACAUCUAGGAAAGUUCCUUAAAAGGAAAACAGACAGAUGGCAGCUCUCUUGACUAGUACACAGCUAGGUCCUGAGGAUGUCAGAGCAGGAAGGGAGAAGUAGCCUGUGUCUCUAAUGGAGUCUCGGCGGUUGCAUAAAGACUCUGGGUUUCCCUUCCCAGAUUUCUUUUACAAGAAAGAAUAAAUCCCUAAUUUGUUUAAGCCACUGUGACAGGAUCUGUGUUACCAGCGGGCAAAGCCAAUUCCUGACUGAUACAGAAGGCAAGCUACUUACCUUUUUCUGAGUACAUGGGUAGUACCCAUGACACAAAGAAGUGAAUGCUCAAACUAAGAGUAAGUCAAUAAGCAUAAGGGGUAGGUUCUAACUCAGUCCUAUUAUGUUUGAACUUCAGAUGUGAAUGCCAUAAACUUUAAUGUCAUGGACCCUUUUGAAAAAACUGUAGGAAGGUGUGGACAAUCUCCUUGGGGAACUGGAUAUGCACAUUUAAAAUCUUCACACACAAUCUCAAGCAUUUUAUGGAAUUGAUGAAGCCCAUCCACGAAGCUCUUGUUAGGGAUUUCUGCAUUUGGUUACAAUUACUUUGAAAGGCAGAAAAGGAGGGACUAGAUCUGGCUUGGCUAGUGGUCAGUGCGUUCAGAUUUUUUUCUCAGGAAAGCUUAGGGGUAAAUUGGAUCACCUGGGUAGUCAAACCUCAUCUUCCCAGGAGCCUUCUUUAACAGCAACCUAAAUCUUUUGGAUUUGGAGAUGGAUGGUGAGACCAUUUGGUGCAGGAGAAAUCAGAUGUUACUCUGAGGCUUGGUAGGCCACCUAGAACUAAGGAACAGUCCAGAUUAUUACGGGGAACUCAAGAGCUUUUGCGGCUAGCUGUAGUCCAAGGUGAAAUAAAUAAAUAAAUAAGCAAGCUAAAUUUACUCUGUACACCAGAACAAAGGAUGUUGGAAAGGGCUUUGUGACUGAAUGCGAACCAUCUUUGGAGAAAUAUCUAUUAUUGUUCAUUGGAUUUUUAGCAGAUUUUGAAUAGUUUUAUGGGACUUUGUAUGUUUGUGGGACACACUGACAGGACCUUCUGAAUAGUUGGUUGAUUAAUGAAAAUGUAACAAGAUAUUUCACUUAUAGAGCAGCUGUUCCAAUGUUUGGGCAUUCCAUGUCAAGCUGCUAUGAGCUGAUCUAGUCCAAAGAGGCUUUACUGAAAGUAUGUUGUAAUAAACAGUGUCCACUGGGUGAAUUUGCCUAAAUCGUUUUUUUGUGUAUUAUGCCUGUGGGAAAAGACAUAUGAUAUUUUGAAAGCUGUUUUGCUUUGAUUUCCCAGUGAAGUAAUCCUGCUCUCACAAAUUCUAAUUGUAUGACGCCGUAAGAACGGGCUUAAUCCAGGUUGUAAAAAUGUGUAGGUCCUACUGAAUUAAUCCCCCUUUGGAGGACAUGUACAAUUCAUUUCCUGGGAUCUUUAUCAUACAAGCUUUCCUCCUCAACUUUUAGCAUAUCUUUCACUCCUUAAAAAAAAAAAAUUCACAAACUAAACAACAAGUACUCUGAUUCUUUUCAACCUCUAAGAUUAUAUGAGGAACAUAAUAACAUAGUGUUUGUGGAGCAUUUUCUCAUAUUUUUAUAGCAAACUAAGAUGUUCUGGGACGGUUGUUCUCGAAUUUCAGUGUGCAAAAGAAUACCUGUGGAAUAUGUUAAAACGCAGAUUCCAAGGCCCCUUGGGGUUCUCAUUCAGAGGCCUGUGGUAGAGUUGGUAGCUGUCGUGCUUUAAGACAACAAUAGUUUGUAUUAUAGAGCUAAACUCCCUUUGGAUGAAAGGGUGAGAUUAUGCGCUUCCUUUAUGAUUCUUUCCACUGCAAGACCUUGGAACACUAUGGAAAAGAUUUGAAAUACUCUUGUGCCAGACAAUACUGGAAAUAGCGACAUCAGGGGAAAACCUAGGAGGGAAAAAGUUUGGUUCUCAUAACUGCUUUGCCUGGGUAGGAUACGGGUUAACAUUUGACAACACAUGGGAUGAUGUGUAUGCCAGGAACAUAACUGAUGCUCAAUCAUUGUGGUGAAUUCUCCAUUAUUUCUGUGGUGCCUCCUGAAUACUAUGUCACCUUAGGAUUUGAAAACAUCCUUCUCAGACUGCUCAAGUUAUGAUUGAAUUGAUGACAAUAUCAGGAACGGAAACUUAAGCCCUUCUCAGAUACUGUUCCAUCUGCUUCACGUCAUA